GUGCUCACCUUGGUAGCAUAUAUAUUAAAAUUAGAAUGAUACAGAGAUGAUUAGCAUGGCCUCUGCAAAAGGAUGACAUGUAAAUUCAUAAGACAUUCCAUAUUUUU
ensembl:snRNA U6 U6 spliceosomal RNA